CUCUGCUGGCUUCCUACCAACAGUCAUGCUGCGUUCAUGUCAUGUUGGAUUUGCUGUAAAUGCGAGCUGCCAACUGGGGAAAAUCAUUCAUUUGUAGGAGCUGGCAUCAUAUUUCCCAGGGGAGUAAAUGAUGUCAUUUUGGAUCUCAAACUGUCUCCUCACCUCAUCUCAGCGCAAACUCACCCACCUAGGUCAAUCACCGUGUGCAAAGGAGGAGAGUUGACUCAUAGUGACCUGAAGCUGGAGGAGUGUCAAGUCAAAUCCAGACUCAUGGGCAGAUUUGAAGAAGUCCCAUUCGGAUAUUUUCAGAGCAGGGGACAUGCAUCUGAGAAACCACCUGCAACCAGGUGAACAUACUAAAGUGGUGGAAGUGAGAUCAUUGGGGUUUAGUCGGUGCUGUGACAGUGAUGAUAAAGGAGGAUUGCUGGUUCCUUCAAGUCAGCUGAAUCUAAGAAGCAACAGAGUUAAAUUGUUGCUUCUUUGUAUGGGACGAUUAAAUUAAGGGGAGACGUGCUAUGGUGGAAUAUAAAUGUUUACAUUUACGGUACUCAAGAACUGUACUUACUGUCCAAGAAUAGUUUGACAUUUUAGGAAAUGAUUCACUUUUUUGCUGACAGUUAGAUGAGAAGAUCUUUUGUGUUUUUUGUGUUUGUCUGUUAAAUACGAAGCUGUGUUUGUCUGUUAAAUUUGAAGUUGGAGCCAGAAGACAGUUAGUUCAGCUUAGCAUAAAGACUGCAAACCAGAGGAAACAGCUAUCCUGGCUCCAUUUAAAGAGCAUUCCUCCAUAACCAUGGGAAAUCCCCAUCAUGUAUACAUGUGCGUACCCUGUUCUGUUUUACAUUUCCAACGUAAACUGUUUUUAAUUAGGUUCAUUUUAUUGAGUCUUGUUGGAGUAUAAUAA